rnacentral:rRNA from 1 species
CCAAAAACAUAGCCCUAGAACUUAUUUAAGGUGUGACCUGCCCAAUGAUUUUCAAGUACAACAAAUAAAAAUUGUGAAAGAAAAUUAAAAGGACGCGGUAACCUUGACCGUGAUAAUGUAGCAUAAUCAUUCGCCAUUUAAUUGAUGGAUAGUAUGAAUGGUUAAACGAAUAUUUCACUGUCUCAAGAAGAAGUAACAAAAAAUUAGAAUAAUAGUAAAGAUACUAUUUAAGAUUGUAAGACGAAAAGACCCUAUAGAGCUUAACUAUAAUUUCUCUUUAAUAAAAGAAAACAAUUCUAAAAAUAGAGAGAUUGGUAGUUUAGUUGGGGCGACUGUCUUUUAAAAAAAACAAAGACAAGCAAAGUAAAUAAAAAAAAACUUAUUGUAUAAUACAUGGAUUUAACAAUUAUAAAAAUAGGCUAUAAUGACCCGUUAACACCAAAUAAUAGGAGUAACGAUCAAUAAAUAAAAGCUACCUUAGGGAUAACAGGAUAAUUUUAUUUUAGAGAUCUAAUCGAAAAUAAAGUUUGUCACCUCUAUGUUGAAUUAAGAUAUCCCGAUAAUGCAGAAGUUAUCAACGGUAGGUCUGUUCGACCUUUAAAA